UACGAAGGGGGCUAGCGUUGUUCGGAAUUACUGGGCGUAAAGCGUGCGCAGGCGGUUGUGUAAGUCAGAUGUGAAAUCCCCGGGCUCAACCUGGGAACUGCAUUUGUGACUGCACAGCUGGAGUGCGGCAGAGGGGGAUGGAAUUCCGCGUGUAGCAGUGAAAUGCGUAGAUAUGCGGAGGAACACCGAUGGCGAAGGCAAUCCCCUGGGCCUGCACUGACGCUCAUGCACGAAAGCGUGGGGAGCAAACAGG
rnacentral:rRNA from 1 species